CUUGUGCAGAUUCAGCACAGGUACUCCCAGCUGCUGUGAAUUCUUGAUUGCAAAGGAUGUAUCUAACCCUCCCAGCCCUUCUCCCUUUAUACACGCUUUAAUCUCGAGCUGCCGAACUCCAAAUCUUGUAAGAUUAGUGUUCAGCGGAUAAAGCAAAACAAAGCAAAAUCAACAACAAAAAACAACGAAGGCAUACCAUUGCUCCCUCCAGAAAUACAGCAAACAGGACUGAAAAGAAUGUUUCCAAAAACUUGGGCUAAGAAUCAUCUGGGAAGCUGUUAAACUAAAGCCAGUCCAAAUUGGAACCUUUGGGAGCAAUCUCUGGAAACGCACAUCAACAUAAUUCUUGAGAUACCUUUGUACUUAGUAAUUCUUAAAACC